rnacentral:rRNA from 1 species
GACGAACGCUGGCGGCGCGCUUAACACAUGCAAGUCGAACGGAAAGGCCUGCUUUCCCUUGUGGAUUGCGGGUACUCGAGUGGCGAACGGGUGAGUAACACGUGAGUGAUCUGCCCCCAACUUGGGUAUAAGCCUGGGAAACUGGGUCUAAUUCCCGAUAGGACUGCAGGGUGGUGCCUGUGGUGGAACACGAUUUUCUAGUGGUUGGGGAUGAGCUCGCGGCCUAUCAGCUUGUUGGUGGGGUAAUGGCCUACCAAGGCGGCGACGGGUAGCCGGCCUGAGAGGGGGGACGGCCACAUUGGGACUGAGAUACGGCCCAGACUCCUACGGGAGGCAGCAGUGGGGAAUAUUACACAAUGGGCGGAAGCCUGAUGCAGCGACGCCGCGUGGGGGAUGACGGCCUUCGGGUUGUAAACUCCUUUCGACCGCGAGGAAGCCACCUGGUUGGAAGGGUGGUGACGGUAGUGGUAGAAGAAGCACCGGCUAACUACGUG